UGCUCGAGGGCUGAGAGAGAGCUGGCCCUCUUCUUGAGGGCAGCCGCCGCCGCCAUCCGUCGGUUCUGCGGCACUCGGCGACCUGCAAAAUGGCGAGGCGUUAAUUCGGCGCCACAAGUACGAAGAGCAUCACUGUCAACAGAGAACGCGCCGACUACUGCUGCCCCCUGGUUGGUGUUUGAUAUCAUGUAUGCUUGGGAGAUGUUACUGGCUGCCGCGACUCAUGCUGACCUCAAGCACCCUUCCGUGGCCCCUGUCUGCAAGGGAGACAGCUCAAGGGCAACAAAACAAAGAAAUCAACAAAAAAUGCUCGCCAGGCGCUCCUCCAACAAGACGAGACAGUGUAAGGAGGGGGGCAGUGAUUGAUGUCAAGGUGUUCGGCGUUACCUGCGUCAGCGUUCCCGAGGCCGUCAGAAGGACAGUAGGCUGGAUGACCUGCGCUAAUUAGACGGACUGCGUGUCAAGGUUUCUCUUCUGAUUGAUCGUCAUGCCCAGCGGGUACUCGCCGUGCAGCAGUGACCAGGCGAUGGUGUCCAUCUCAGCCCGGAACUUUGCCAAUCGUAAGCGUAGCUGGCCUUGUAACUUUGCUGCCAUCUCGCCGGAC